rnacentral:rRNA from 1 species
GAUGAACGCUGGCGGCGUGCCUAAUACAUGCAAGUCGAGCGAACAGACGAGGAGCUUGCUCCUCUGACGUUAGCGGCGGACGGGUGAGUAACACGUGGAUAACCUACCUAUAAGACUGGGAUAACUUCGGGAAACCGGAGCUAAUACCGGAUAAUAUAUUGAACCGCAUGGUUCAAUAGUGAAAGACGGUUUUGCUGUCACUUAUAGAUGGAUCCGCGCCGCAUUAGCUAGUUGGUAAGGUAACGGCUUACCAAGGCAACGAUGCGUAGCCGACCUGAGAGGGUGAUCGGGCACACCGGAACUGAGACACGGUCCAGACUCCUACGGGAGGCAGCAGUAGGGAAUCUUCCGCAAUGGGCGAAAGCCUGACGGAGCAACGCCGCGUGAGUGAUGAAGGUCUUCGGAUCGUAAAACUCUGUUAUUAGGGAAGAACAAAUGUGUAAGUAACUAUGCACGUCUUGACGGUACCUAAUCAGAAAGCCACGGCUAACUACGUG